GCCUGGGUGGCUCAGUUGGUUGAGCGUCCAACUCCGGCUUGGGCCAUAAUCUCACAUUCGUGGGUUCAAGCCCCAUAUCAGGCU
rnacentral:tRNA from 1 species